UUUAAAGGCACGUACUCAUGAGAGUAACGACGUAAAGUGAAGUGAAAAUUAAACUGAGUUGAAAACGGUCAAACGAUUUCCAUCGCAUUAAAAUUUGAUAAAAAUGGAACAUUGUAAACAGAAAAAUUCUUUUAUUGUUACAUACAUACAUAUGUGUGAAACCAUAGAGAUAUAAAGAUAGAGUGCGUGAACGAGCUGUAAAGGCGAUAUAGCCAUAAAAAGAGAAUGUGCCUUACAGGUAAAUAUGUAAGUAUAGCACCGAUCAACGAGCGGCAUUAUUUGCCUAUGAUGGAAGGGGCCUCUAUGUAAUGUUUUCUUUUCAGUCUCAUAUCGCAUCCACUUACACGAUAACAUAGUAACGUAUGUUUUAUAUGACUGGCGUACUAUAUCUUCAUAUAUAUUUUUAACCUCUAUAUAUGAAACUAGUUGCUGCUACGUAGCUUUCUUAUUUAUACGUAUAAAUUUGCAUCUUCAGUACAAGUAGAGCAACUUCUUUUGGCAAGGACAGGGCGACACCUGAACUGACGUCAGGGAUUGGGUUUUCCGAAAGGUUCUGGUAUCUCUAGUUCAGAAAAUUCGGCAAUCUGUAUUGUUACAUACAAAUAGAUGUUUAUACAUGUCAAUGUAAUACUCCUUCUAAAUUACACUUCGUAAAACUUGUUUAAAACAGUUUCUGGUUUUUAUUGGAAGUUGGAAUAUUCUAUUCGAAUGUCCACCUGUACAACCUUACUAUAAACUAUUUCGUCUAAGACCUCACAGUGUUCCUCUGUGAGUUUUUCUGUCGGAAUAAAAUUAAUCUCUUUUAAUCCUUGUACUGCGCAGAACGAUUAUAGCUUAUCAUCGCUAACGCGAAAUGUCAUGCCUAUAUAUAACAGAAAAUAAAAUAAAUAACAAUAUGUAUAACAUUACAGAAAAAUGUAAAAUGUCAGUAACAAACUUUCUCAGAAAAAAGCUUGCGUGUGUUGAAUAAAUUUUUGUUAAAUAAUUGGCAAUUAAUCUAGGUAUUCUUUAUUUCUUGGGUAACAAGCAAACCAAUCUAAUUAUCAUAAGCAUUUAUUAUUUCAAAUAACCUUUAUGUAAUAUUGACUUACGCCAAAUUUAACACCCCUGCCUCCUAAAUGCUCAAGAUAUGGCUCAAAGUAAAGUCUUGUAUAAACGCUACCUUAUCCAAAAAUAAAUAAAAGAUAGAAAAUAUAAUACAUAUGCAAUACAUUAAGGAUUACGAAAAAUAAUAAGAAUUUACCACAGUCAAUAAACAAAAGAAAAUUUGAAUCGUCAUAAGCCAAUCAUUGCUCGGAUCAAGUCUUGUAUAAUAAGAAGUGGAUCCAAAAUAUGCAGAAUAGAAAUAAAAAAAAUUGGAGUUUGUCUUUCAAAUUGAUUUUGAAAAUCUGCUAAGUAUGUAUGCAUUUGUAAGUGAGAUGAAAUUUAUAGAACAAACAGGAAAUCAUUUCACCAAAAAUGUAGAAUAAAGUUUUUUUCAUCUAAAACUUAUCUAGGUUUUAAGAAAAUUGAUUUUGGAAGGUUUGUGGAGUGGGCAGAUGAUUUCUUAUGCAAAAACAGACUUUGAAAGUUAGCUGCGUAUGCAAUAGUAUGCAUACACUUACAUACGUAAUUAUAUGCAUACAAUACGGUACAGUAACACCAUUGUUUCUAUAUUUAGAAUGCCUACGCGACUUUUAUAAAUUAUUAGAUUAUUAGAUUCAACAAUGUACAAAUUCAACAAAGCACAAAGAAAAAUUUUAUCAAGAAUACCAAAAUCGAUUCUCUCGAAAACCAAGGUCUAAAUGAAAAGAUUUUAUUCUACGUUCUCUAUUUAUUUUAUUUUGUUACAUAAAUCAUCAGUAAAUUACAAAUAUUUAUGCAAACCCAACAUUUGUAUAAAUGCAACUAUACAAAUGGAACCAAAGCGUAGACGUAUUUUCCCUAUGAUUUAUUUUCAAUAUCAUUCGAUAGGUCUUUCAAAUUUAAGAAAACAUACAAAGUCAUUGACUCUCGCCCUAUUCACAAAAAAGAAAUACAAGAGCAAAGAUUUAUUAAUAUUAUAAAUUAUUACAUUAAUAAACCGUAGCAAAGAUUAGUUUCACUUAUUUGUUAAAGCAUACCUUACUUUAGAUAAUCGAUACAUUUUUCCAUGUAAUGCGCAUUUUGUGUAUUUCUCUAUAAGUGCGUAAAAAAACUCACUUCCUAUGCACUCGUAUAUUUAUAAUCGCACACCAUAUGUCCACCAAUGCCUCCAAUUUCACGGAAAAGAUAUAGCAUCGUUGACUCUGUCUCAUCACCGAAGCUGCUUUCAAAAUGUGAUAUAUAUAAAUUUUUGGUUGUGAAACAGUCAUUUGUCUAGGAAAUCCAUGGGUCAACAAUAUUUGAUAAUAUUA